CACUCCCCCGAAGCCAGCGAGGAUGGCUGCGCGCGCGUUUGAGCGCUCGCGCGCGGCGACCCGUCUGUCUCCUUCUUUCUUUUCUUUUUUAAAUGUAACCUGGUUUAUUGGGCUCUCGGCGUAUUCUUGCGUUCCUUCUGCACUGCGACAAGACACCACUGCACUAUUGGACAACGGCAAGCUGGUGCCGUCCGGUGGAGCUUCAUACAGGAACUACUGCCUUACCUGCUGGUGUCACAACGUUGGAUGAACGCACAAAAAGCGCGGAACGAGCUUUUAUAUAGAGCAAAAUAAAUAUUUCCUCAUUGCACAAAA